rnacentral:rRNA from 1 species
ACGAACGCUGGCGGCGUGCUUAACACAUGCAAGUCGAACGGAAAGGCCCUGCUUUUGUGGGGUGCUCGAGUGGCGAACGGGUGAGUAACACGUGAGUAACCUGCCCUUGUCUUUGGGAUAACUUCAGGAAACUGGGGCUAAUACCGGAUAGGAGCUCCUGCUGCAUGGUGGGGGUUGGAAAGUUUCGGCGGUUGGGGAUGGACUGGCAGCUUAUCAGCUUGUUGGUGGGGUAGUGGCUUACCAAGGCUUUGACGGGUAGCCGGCCUGGGAGGGUGACCGGCCACAUUGGGACUGAGGUACGGCCCAGAAUCCUACGGGAGGCAGCAGUGGGGAAUAUUGCACAAUGAGCGGAAGCCUGAUGCAGCAACGCCGCGUGCGGGAUGACGGCCUUCGGGUUGUAAACCGCUUUCGCCUGUGACGAAGCGUGAGUGACGGUAAUGGGUAAAGAAGCACCGGCUAACUACGUG